rnacentral:rRNA from 1 species
UUGAUUAUGGCUCAGAUUGAACGCGCUGGCGGGAUGUUACAUGCAAGUCAGACGACGCUGGACUUCGGUCUGGUGGCGAGUGGCGAACGGGUGAGUAAUGUAUCGGAACGUGCCUAGUAGCGGGGAUAACUACUGGCAAUAGCUAAUACCGCAUACGCCCUUCAAGGGGAAAGCGGGGACCUUCGGGCCUCGCACUAUUAGAGCGGCCGAUGUCGGAUUAGCUAGUUGGUGGGGUAACGGCUCACCAAGGCGACGAUCCGUAGCUGGUUUGAGAGGACGACCAGCCACACUGGGACUGAGACGGCCAGACUCCUACGGGGAGGCAGCAGUGGGGAGUACACCUGGACAAUGGAAACUGCAGUCAGCCAUCCCGUGUGCGAUGAAGGCCUUCAGGUUGUAAAGCACUUUUGGCAGGAAAGAAACAGCUGGGGAUAAUGCCCCGUGCAACUGACGGUACCUACAGAAUAAGCACCGGCUAACUACGUGCCAGCCGCGGUAAUACGUAGGGUGCAAGCGUUAAUCGGAAUUACUGGGCGUAAAGCGUGCGCAGGCAGGUUCGGAAGAAAGAUGUGAAAUCCCAGAGCAACAUGGAACAUUUUUAACCACCGAGCUAGAGUGUGUCAGAGGGAGAGUGGAAUUCCGCGUGUAGCAGUGAAAUGCGUAGAUAUGGAGGAACACCGAUGGCGAAGGCAGCCUCCUGGGAUAUACUGACGGCUCAUGCACGAAAGCGUGGGGAGCAAACAGUUAGAUACCUGGUAGUCCACGCCUAAACGAUGUCAACUAGCUGUUGGGGCCUUGGGCCUUGGUGAAGCAGCUAACGUGAAGUUGACCGCCUGGGAGAUACGGUCGCAAGAUUAAAGCUCAAAGAGAUUGACGGGGACCCGCACAAGCGGUGGAUGAUGGAUUAAUUCGAUGCAGCACGAAAAACCUUACCUACCCUUGACAUGUCUGGAAUCCCGAGAGAUUUGGGAGUGCUCGCAAGAGAACCAGAACACCAGGUGCUGCAUGGCUGUCGUCAGCUCGUAUCGUGAGAUGCGGGUUAAGUCCGCAACGAAAGCAACCCUUGUCAUUAGUUAUACCGAGGCCUCUAAUGGACACCGGUGACAAACCGGAGGAAGGUGGGGAUGACUGGCGUCAGUCCUCCAUGACCCUGUGGGUGGGCUUCACGUCAUACAAUGGUCGGGACAGAGGGUCGCCAACCGCGAGGGGGAGCCAAUCCCAGAAACCCGAUCGUAGUCCGGAUCGCAGUCUGCAACUCGACUGCGUGAAGUCGGAAUCGCUAGUAAUCGCGGAUCAGCAUGUCGCGGUGGAAUACGUUCCCGGGUCUUUGUACACACCGCCCGUCACACACCAUGGGAGUGGGUUUUACCAGAUGGUUAGCUAACCGUAAGGAGGGCGAUUACCACGGUAAGGAUUCAUGACUGGGCCGUCGUAACUCAGAUAGCUCUUGCACCAGUGCUCCAGGAGUA